rnacentral:lncRNA from 1 species
UAUUUUAUUAAUAAUAGAUUCAUAAUUAUUUAAAUAAUAACUUUAACCGCAUAUAAUCAAAUAAUGAAUUUAUUUAAGUUCUUGAAAUUUUGCGGUUGUUACAUUCUUCCCUCCUUUAAAGGAUUCUGUGCUCGGAAUCAUGAUUUGUGUUGAACAACUCUCAUUGCAUCUUCUAGUUUCCACGUCACUUUUUCUAUAGCUUGAUUUCGCCAGAUCAUUUUAAGUAAUUUCACUUCCUUAUUCCGUACCUCUUGAAAUUUAGAAUCUACAAUCUACACUGGUUUCUCUUCGUACGUCGGAUUUGGUUAGAUAUGUGUUGCCUCAUAGUUCAAAAUAUGACGGUUGUCAGUCUUGUAAACUUUUCUUAGAUUCUCAAACGAUCCUGUAUAUCUCUGAUUCAACUUACCUUAUUUCCCGAAUCUAACUAUUCCUUUCCAAUAUGACACUUUCCAAAGCACUUUUCCUCUUACUUCAAAUGCUUUCUCUUUUAUUUCUAAAUCUGUAUAUAUAUAUAUAUAUAUAUAUAUAU